UGGCUUGUGGCUCAGUGGUACAGCACUUGCCUGGCAGGUGUGAGGCCCUGGGUUCAAUCCUCAGCAAAAUAA
rnacentral:tRNA from 1 species